rnacentral:rRNA from 1 species
GACGAACGCUGGCGGCGUGCUUAACACAUGCAAGUCGAACGGAAAGGCCCUGCCUUUGUGGGGUGCUCGAGUGGCGAACGGGUGAGUAACACGUGAGUUACCUGUCCUUGACUUUGGGAUAACUUCAGGAAACUGGGGCUCAUACCGGAUAGGAGCUCCUGCUGCAUGGUGGGCGCUGGUAAGUUUCGGCGGUUGGGGAUGGACUCGCGGCUUAUCAGCUUGUUGGUGAGGUAGUGGCUUACCAAGGCUUUGACGGGUAGCCGGCCUGAGAGGGUGACCGGCCACGUUGGGCCUGAGAUGCGGCCCAGACUCCUACGGGAGGCAACAGUGGGGAAUAUUGCACAAUGGGCGGGAGCCAGGUGCAGCAACGCCGCGUGCGGUAUGACAGCAUUCGGGUUGUAAACCGCUUUCGCCUGUGACGAAGCGUGAAUGACGGUAAUGGGUAAAGAAGCACCGGCUAACUACGUG